rnacentral:rRNA from 1 species
GGUACACGCUGUGACUAGCAUAUCAAUAAGCGGAGGAAAAGAAACUAACAAGGAUUCCCCUAGUAACGGCGAGUGAAGCGGGAAGAGCUCAAAUUUGAAAUCUUAAAGGGUUUCCCUUUACGAAUUGUAGUUUAAAGAAGUGUUUUCUGUUGAGGUUUUGGUAAAAGUUCUUUGGAAUAGGACAUCAUAGAGGGUGAGAAUCCCGUAUUUGACCUUUACUUUCAACUUUGUGAUACACUUUCAAAGAGUCGGAUUGUUUGGGAAUGCAGUCCAAAAUGGGUGGUAAAUUUCAUCCUAAAGCUAAAUAUUGGCGAGAGACCGAUAGCGAACAAGUACCGUGAGGGAAAGAUGAAAAGAACUUUGAAAAGAGAGUUAAACAGUACGUGAGAUCGUCAAAAGGGAAGCGUUUGACACCAGUGUUGUUUUUCUGAAAAUCAAUUAAAGAACUGUUUAUGCUAAGUUGUUUAGACUUUAUCAGCUAACUGUUUAGUUUUGAGCUUUUCUUUAAUGCACUUUUCAGUUAACAAGUCAACAUCAAUUUCUUUUGCUGUAAAAAAGCUUGAGGAAGGUGGCUUGAGAUUCGUCUUAAGUGUUUAUAGCCUCUUGCCUAUGCAGUCGGAGAGAUUGAGGUCUGUAGCGUAGAUCCUUCGGGGCUAAAUGCAUUUGUGCUAAGUUAUAGCAUUUUAUAGACAACUUGUUGACUAUGAUUUGUCUUGUAGCUUACUCGCUUAUGUUAUUUUACCUACGCUUAGGAUGUUGAGUCGUAGAGCACGCAG